GCCCAGAUGGCGGAAUUGGCAGACGCGCCUGACUCAAAAUCAGGUAUCGAAAGAUGUGUGGGUUCGACCCCCACUCUGGGUACCA
rnacentral:tRNA from 1 species